rnacentral:misc_RNA from 1 species
AAGUCGUAACAAGGUUUCCGUAGGUGAACCUGCGGAAGGAUCAUUAACACGUGAUACUCACGUAUUACACCAAACGCGAAUUUGUUAUUUGUCCUAGUGUUAGUAGAAGCGAGUGUGAGUGAAUGGUGUGAACACUUCGGUGUUCUCUCUUAUACUCUACAGUUCUCUGAGACUGAAGUUUCUGCUAUCACUGGUUGAUGACUAUUUUAGCUGUCUACCUGCACCUUGGUGGCAGCUAAGAUGACUCUUAUUAACCCCAUCUAUUUUUCUACUGAUUUGUAUGUUCACUUGAAUUCCUAGCUCUCACGAGCUGGUUGAGUUCGAAUGAAUGUCGUUUAUCUAACACGAAACAACUCUUAGCAACGGAUAUCUUGGUUCUC